CUGACAUUUUAAGUUGAGGGAGUGAAGUGAACCUUUCUCCGUUUUCGCUUCUUAAAGCCUAGGAUUUGGUUUUCAUAUGCAAAAAGAAUAAAAGAGAAUGGUGCUGUGCUACCCAUCAACACCGAAGAAAUUGGCAAUGACGAUAGGAUGUUUCGUCGGUGGAGCUGCACUUUUCGGUUAUGGUUUACGUCUCUAUUAUAUCAAUAUAGAACCUCAACAAGCUCGAAUUAAAGCUCGCAAUGAAUUUGUUCGAGAACGCUUGAGAAGGAAACAUGGCGCCGAAUAAUUCAACGCCUAUCAUCGGCUUUUUUGGGCUCUCCAUAUUAGAGUUCAUAUUCUCUAUAUUUCCUCACUUUGGUACUAUCAUAAGAGCUUUUGCUAUUUGAACUUCUUUUACUUUCAUCUUCUUUGUUAGUAUCUUAUUUCGAUUCUAAGAAAGAAUUCCUCAACAUAGUUCAGAGCAUCAGGAAAUUUAGAGCAUUGGGAAUUUUUGUACGCAUGUCACCGAGCUCAUAUACCAUUUUAGCUACAACUUAUUGUCUAUUGGUAUAGUUGCUCUACUUGAUUGAUAGCCAAAAUUAAUAAAAAUUAGAGAUUCUCAA